UAAGCGACUAAGCGUACACGGUGGAUGCCCUGGCAGUCAGAGGCGAUGAAGGACGUGCUAAUCUGCGAUAAGCGUCGGUAAGGUGAUAUGAACCGUUAUAACCGGCGAUUUCCGAAUGGGGAAACCCAGUGUGAUUCGUCACACUAUCAUUAACUGAAUCCAUAGGUUAAUGAGGCGAACCGGGGGAACUGAAACAUCUAAGUACCCCGAGGAAAAGAAAUCAACCGAGAUUCCCCCAGUAGCGGCGAGCGAACGGGGAGGAGCCCAGAGCCUGAAUCAGUGUGUGUGUUAGUGGAAGCGUCUGGAAAGGCGCGCGAUACAGGGUGACAGCCCCGUACACAAAAAUGCACAUGCUGUGAGCUCGAUGAGUAGGGCGGGACACGUGGUAUCCUGUCUGAAUAUGGGGGGACCAUCCUCCAAGGCUAAAUACUCCUGACUGACCGAUAGUGAACCAGUACCGUGAGGGAAAGGCGAAAAGAACCCCGGCGAGGGGAGUGAAAAAGAACCUGAAACCGUGUACGUACAAGCAGUGGGAGCACAGAGCAAUCUGUGUGACUGCGUACCUUUUGUAUAAUGGGUCAGCGACUUAUAUUCUGUAGCAAGGUUAACCGAAUAGGGGAGCCGAAGGGAAACCGAGUCUUAACCGGGCGUUAAGUUGCAGGGUAUAGACCCGAAACCCGGUGAUCUAGCCAUGGGCAGGUUGAAGGUUGGGUAACACUAACUGGAGGACCGAACCGACUAAUGUUGAAAAAUUAGCGGAUGACUUGUGGCUGGGGGUGAAAGGCCAAUCAAACCGGGAGAUAGCUGGUUCUCCCCGAAAGCUAUUUAGGUAGCGCCUCGUGAAUUCAUCUCCGGGGGUAGAGCACUGUUUCGGCAAGGGGGUCAUCCCGACUUACCAACCCGAUGCAAACUGCGAAUACCGGAGAAUGUUAUCACGGGAGACACACGGCGGGUGCUAACGUCCGUCGUGAAGAGGGAAACAACCCAGACCGCCAGCUAAGGUCCCAAAGUCAUGGUUAAGUGGGAAACGAUGUGGGAAGGCCCAGACAGCCAGGAUGUUGGCUUAGAAGCAGCCAUCAUUUAAAGAAAGCGUAAUAGCUCACUGGUCGAGUCGGCCUGCGCGGAAGAUGUAACGGGGCUAAACCAUGCACCGAAGCUGCGGCAGCGACACUGUGUGUUGUUGGGUAGGGGAGCGUUCUGUAAGCCUGUGAAGGUGUGCUGUGAGGCAUGCUGGAGGUAUCAGAAGUGCGAAUGCUGACAUAAGUAACGAUAAAGCGGGUGAAAAGCCCGCUCGCCGGAAGACCAAGGGUUCCUGUCCAACGUUAAUCGGGGCAGGGUGAGUCGACCCCUAAGGCGAGGCCGAAAGGCGUAGUCGAUGGGAAACAGGUUAAUAUUCCUGUACUUGGUGUUACUGCGAAGGGGGGACGGAGAAGGCUAUGUUGGCCGGGCGACGGUUGUCCCGGUUUAAGCGUGUAGGCUGGUUUUCCAGGCAAAUCCGGAAAAUCAAGGCUGAGGCGUGAUGACGAGGCACUACGGUGCUGAAGCAACAAAUGCCCUGCUUCCAGGAAAAGCCUCUAAGCAUCAGGUAACAUCAAAUCGUACCCCAAACCGACACAGGUGGUCAGGUAGAGAAUACCAAGGCGCUUGAGAGAACUCGGGUGAAGGAACUAGGCAAAAUGGUGCCGUAACUUCGGGAGAAGGCACGCUGAUAUGUAGGUGAAGUCCCUCGCGGAUGGAGCUGAAAUCAGUCGAAGAUACCAGCUGGCUGCAACUGUUUAUUAAAAACACAGCACUGUGCAAACACGAAAGUGGACGUAUACGGUGUGACGCCUGCCCGGUGCCGGAAGGUUAAUUGAUGGGGUCAGCGCAAGCGAAGCUCUUGAUCGAAGCCCCGGUAAACGGCGGCCGUAACUAUAACGGUCCUAAGGUAGCGAAAUUCCUUGUCGGGUAAGUUCCGACCUGCACGAAUGGCGUAAUGAUGGCCAGGCUGUCUCCACCCGAGACUCAGUGAAAUUGAACUCGCUGUGAAGAUGCAGUGUACCCGCGGCAAGACGGAAAGACCCCGUGAACCUUUACUAUAGCUUGACACUGAACAUUGAGCCUUGAUGUGUAGGAUAGGUGGGAGGCUUUGAAGUGUGGACGCCAGUCUGCAUGGAGCCGACCUUGAAAUACCACCCUUUAAUGUUUGAUGUUCUAACGUGGACCCGUGAUCCGGGUUGCGGACAGUGUCUGGUGGGUAGUUUGACUGGGGCGGUCUCCUCCUAAAGAGUAACGGAGGAGCACGAAGGUUGGCUAAUCCUGGUCGGACAUCAGGAGGUUAGUGCAAUGGCAUAAGCCAGCUUGACUGCGAGCGUGACGGCGCGAGCAGGUGCGAAAGCAGGUCAUAGUGAUCCGGUGGUUCUGAAUGGAAGGGCCAUCGCUCAACGGAUAAAAGGUACUCCGGGGAUAACAGGCUGAUACCGCCCAAGAGUUCAUAUCGACGGCGGUGUUUGGCACCUCGAUGUCGGCUCAUCACAUCCUGGGGCUGAAGUAGGUCCCAAGGGUAUGGCUGUUCGCCAUUUAAAGUGGUACGCGAGCUGGGUUUAGAACGUCGUGAGACAGUUCGGUCCCUAUCUGCCGUGGGCGCUGGAGAACUGAGGGGGGCUGCUCCUAGUACGAGAGGACCGGAGUGGACGCAUCACUGGUGUUCGGGUUGUCAUGCCAAUGGCACUGCCCGGUAGCUAAAUGCGGAAGAGAUAAGUGCUGAAAGCAUCUAAGCACGAAACUUGCCCCGAGAUGAGUUCUCCCUGACCCUUUAAGGGUCCUGAAGGAACGUUGAAGACGACGACGUUGAUAGGCCGGGUGUGUAAGCGCAGCGAUGCGUUGAGCUAACCGGUACUAAUGAACCGUGAGGCUUAACCU
rnacentral:rRNA from 2 species